GUUAGUGUGGCAGAGCAUGGUUAAUGCAAAAGGCCUAAGCCCUUUCUACUGGGGUUCAAAUCCCCCCUCUAACU
rnacentral:tRNA from 1 species